rnacentral:rRNA from 1 species
AUGGCUCAGGAUGAACGCUAGCGGCAGGCCUAACACAUGCAAGUCGAGGGGCAGCGCGGUGUAGCAAUACACUGGCGGCGACCGGCGCACGGGUGCGUAACGCGUAUGCAACCCACCCGCGACAGGGGGAUAACGGGGGGAAACUCCCACUAAUACCCCGUAUGGCCGUGCCCUCGCAUGGGGGCGCGGCGAAAGCCUUCGGGCGGUUGCGGACGGGCAUGCGUGACAUUAGCUAGUUGGCGGGGCAACGGCCCACCAAGGCUGCGAUGUCUAGGGGAGCUGAGAGGCUAAUCCCCCACACUGGUACUAAGACACGGACCAGACUCCUACGGGAGGCAGCAGUGAGGAAUAUUGGUCAAUGGUCGGAAGACUGAACCAGCCCAUGCCGCGUGGGGGAAGGAGGCCCUACGGGUCGUAAACCCCUUUUAGCCGGGAGUAAUAAGCGGGGUGCGCCCCGCGAUGAGAGUACCGGCGGAAUAAGCAUCGGCUAACUCCGUGCCAGCCGCCGC